UUUUGUGUCAGCACGCCGCGGUAAUACGUAGGGGGCGAGCGUUACCCGGAAUUACUGGGCGUAAAGGGUGCGUAGGCGGCCGUGUGUGUCUGGCGUUAAAAUCCACGGCUCAACUGUGGGUAUGCGCUGGAAACUGCACGGCUUGGGUGCAGCAGAGGCAGACGGAACUGCUGGUGUAGGGGUGAAAUCCGUAGAUAUCAGCAGGAACGCCGGUGGAGAAGUCGGUCUGCUGGGCUGUAACCGACGCUGAGGCACGAAAGCUAGGGGAGCAAACCGGAUUAGAUACCCGGGUAGUCCUAGCCGUAAACGAUGCUCACUUGGUGUGGGGGCGAAGGUCUCCGUGCUGAAGCUAACGCGUUAANUGAAGCCG
rnacentral:rRNA from 1 species